AUACGUAGGUGGCGAGCGUUGUCCGGAAUUACUGGGUGUAAAGGGCGUGUAGGCGGUCUAUUAAGUCAGGCGUGAAAACCCUGGGCUUAACCUGGGGACUGCGUUUGAAACUGGUAGGCUUGAGGGCAGGAGAGGAAGGUGGAAUUCCCGGUGUAGCGGUGAUAUGCGUAGAUAUCGGGAGGAACACCAGUGGCGAAGGCGGCUUUCUGGACUGCACCUGACGCUGAGGCGCGAAAGCCAGGGGAGCGAACGGGAUUAGAUACCCCGGUAGUCCUGGCCGUAAACGAUGGGUACUAGGUGUGGGAGGUAUCGACUCCUUCCGUGCCGGAGUUAACACAAUAAGUACCCCGCCUGGGGAGUACGGCCGCAAGGCUGAA
rnacentral:rRNA from 1 species